UUAAGCGACUAAGCGUACACGGUGGAUGCCCUGGCAGUCAGAGGCGAUGAAGGACGUGCUAAUCUGCGAAAAGCGUCGGUAAGGUGAUAUGAACCGUUACAGCCGGCGAUGUCCGAAUGGGGAAACCCAGUGCAAUUCGUUGCACUAUCGUUUGAUGAAUACAUAGUCAAACGAGGCGAACCGGGGGAACUGAAACAUCUAAGUACCCCGAGGAAAAGAAAUCAACCGAGAUUCCCCCAGUAGCGGCGAGCGAACGGGGAGCAGCCCGGAGUCUGAAUCAGCUUGUGUGUUAGUGGAAGCGUCUGGAAAGUCGCAGGGUACAGGGUGAUACUCCCGUACACUAAAACACACAGGUUGUGAACUCGAAGAGUAGGGCGGGACACGUGGUAUCCUGUCUGAAUAUGGGGGGACCAUCCUCCAAGGCUAAAUACUCCUGACUGACCGAUAGUGAACCAGUACCGUGAGGGAAAGGCGAAAAGAACCCCGGCGAGGGGAGUGAAAAAGAACCUGAAACCGUGUACGUACAAGCAGUAGGAGCCCACUUGUUGGGUGACUGCGUACCUUUUGUAUAAUGGGUCAGCGACUUAUAUUCUGUAGCAAGGUUAACCGUAUAGGGGAGCCGCAGGGAAACCGAGUCUUAACUGGGCGUUAAGUUGCAGGGUAUAGACCCGAAACCCGGUGAUCUAGCCAUGGGCAGGUUGAAGGUUGGGUAACACUAACUGGAGGACCGAACCGACUAAUGUUGAAAAAUUAGCGGAUGACUUGUGGCUGGGGGUGAAAGGCCAAUCAAACCGGGAGAUAGCUGGUUCUCCCCGAAAGCUAUUUAGGUAGCGCCUCGUGAACUCAUCUUCGGGGGUAGAGCACUGUUUCGGCUAGGGGGUCAUCCCGACUUACCAACCCGAUGCAAACUACGAAUACCGAAGAAUGUUAUCACGGGAGACACACGGCGGGUGCUAACGUCCGUCGUGAAGAGGGAAACAACCCAGACCGCCAGCUAAGGUCCCAAAGUCAUGGUUAAGUGGGAAACGAUGUGGGAAGGCCCAGACAGCCAGGAUGUUGGCUUAGAAGCAGCCAUCAUUUAAAGAAAGCGUAAUAGCUCACUGGUCGAGUCGGCCUGCGCGGAAGAUGUAACGGGGCUAAACCAUGCACCGAAGCUGCGGCAGCGACGCUUAUGCGUUGUUGGGUAGGGGAGCGUUCUGUAAGCCGUUGAAGGUGGCCUGUGAGGGUUGCUGGAGGUAUCAGAAGUGCGAAUGCUGACAUAAGUAACGAUAAUGCGGGUGAAAAACCCGCACGCCGGAAGACCAAGGGUUCCUGUCCAACGUUAAUCGGGGCAGGGUGAGUCGACCCCUAAGGCGAGGCCGAAAGGCGUAGUCGAUGGGAAACAGGUUAAUAUUCCUGUACUUGGUGUUACUGCGAAGGGGGGACGGAGAAGGCUAUGUUGGCCGGGCGACGGUUGUCCCGGUUUAAGCGUGUAGGUGUGUGUUCCAGGUAAAUCCGGUUCACUUUAACACUGAGGCGUGAUGACGAGGCACUACGGUGCUGAAGUGACAAAUGCCCUGCUUCCAGGAAAAGCCUCUAAGCAUCAGGUAACAUCAAAUCGUACCCCAAACCGACACAGGUGGUCAGGUAGAGAAUACCAAGGCGCUUGAGAGAACUCGGGUGAAGGAACUAGGCAAAAUGGUGCCGUAACUUCGGGAGAAGGCACGCUGAUAUGUAGGUGAAGUGGUUUACCCAUGGAGCUGAAAUCAGUCGAAGAUACCAGCUGGCUGCAACUGUUUAUUAAAAACACAGCACUGUGCAAACACGAAAGUGGACGUAUACGGUGUGACGCCUGCCCGGUGCCGGAAGGUUAAUUGAUGGGGUUAUCCGUAAGGAGAAGCUCUUGAUCGAAGCCCCGGUAAACGGCGGCCGUAACUAUAACGGUCCUAAGGUAGCGAAAUUCCUUGUCGGGUAAGUUCCGACCUGCACGAAUGGCGUAAUGAUGGCCAGGCUGUCUCCACCCGAGACUCAGUGAAAUUGAACUCGCUGUGAAGAUGCAGUGUACCCGCGGCAAGACGGAAAGACCCCGUGAACCUUUACUAUAGCUUGACACUGAACACUGGUCCUUGAUGUGUAGGAUAGGUGGGAGGCUUUGAAGUGUGGACGCCAGUCUGCAUGGAGCCAUCCUUGAAAUACCACCCUUUAAUGGCUGGUGUUCUAACGUGGGCCCGUAAUCCGGGUUGCGGACAGUGUCUGGUGGGUAGUUUGACUGGGGCGGUCUCCUCCUAAAGAGUAACGGAGGAGCACGAAGGUCAGCUAAUCCUGGUCGGACAUCAGGAGGUUAGUGCAAUGGCAUAAGCUGGCUUGACUGCGAGCGUGACGGCGCGAGCAGGUGCGAAAGCAGGUCAUAGUGAUCCGGUGGUUCUGAAUGGAAGGGCCAUCGCUCAACGGAUAAAAGGUACUCCGGGGAUAACAGGCUGAUACCGCCCAAGAGUUCAUAUCGACGGCGGUGUUUGGCACCUCGAUGUCGGCUCAUCACAUCCUGGGGCUGAAGUAGGUCCCAAGGGUAUGGCUGUUCGCCAUUUAAAGUGGUACGCGAGCUGGGUUUAGAACGUCGUGAGACAGUUCGGUCCCUAUCUGCCGUGGGCGCUGGAGAAUUGAGGGGGGCUGCUCCUAGUACGAGAGGACCGGAGUGGACGCAUCACUGGUGUUCGGGUUGUCAUGCCAAUGGCAUUGCCCGGUAGCUAAAUGCGGAAGAGAUAAGUGCUGAAAGCAUCUAAGUACGAAACUUGCCCCGAGAUGAGUUCUCCCUGACUCCUUGAGAGUCCUGAAGGAACGUUGAAGACGACGACGUUGAUAGGCCGGGUGUGUAAGCGCAGCGAUGCGUUGAGCUAACCGGUACUAAUGAACCGUGAGGCUUAACCU
rnacentral:rRNA from 1 species